rnacentral:rRNA from 1 species
CUUCGGUCUUUAGUGGCGAACGGUCGAGUAACACGUAGACAACCUGCCGAUAAGUGGGGGAUACCCGCUCGAAAGGGCGGCUAAUACCGCAUGUGGUGGAGGGCUGCCUGGCCCUUCUACUAAAGGUUUACUGCUUAUCGAUGGGUCUGCGGCCUAUCAGGUAGUUGGUGGGGUAACGGCCUACCAAGCCGACGACGGGUAGCGGGUCUGAGAGGAUGAUCCGCCGGACGGGGACUGAGACACGGCCCCG